UUGCGGCGAGAUCACGUUGAAACACCGGUUCCCGUACGAUUACUGAAGUUAAGCAACGUUGAGAUCCGCCAGUACCUAGAUGGGUGACCGUUUGAGAAUACCAGGUGCUGUAAG